AGCUUGCCUGUGUGUCGCCUUUCAAGUGAUUUCCCUUGCUGCUUUCGCUAACACGACUUUAUCCCUGCCGGAGAGGCUGUUGAGCACUGAUGGGGAGAGGUGAAGGCCUGCACCAGCCCUCGCCCGGAGCUGGGCCCAACCAUUGGAGCAAGGUUGUAAAAGCAGAAAAAUGACCGUGCAUUGCACUUAGGCUGCAGUCAUUCUGCCUAAACUGGGGAACAUUCUGCAAAUAUUUCAAGUCAAAUACUGCUGGUGCUGUCACUGCUGCCUCGCAGUCACUAGGCUACAGCAGCCGUAGGUUUGCCUCGGUGACUCCAGCUGGGCAGCCUCCCGUUCGGACAAGCAAGACUACCAUAAGACUGCAAAUUGGCCCUGUGAAUAUGCUCAUGGCCACGUACAGGAGUGGGGAGCUCUGCCUGGCUGCCUCCUGGCUGCAGAAGCAUUGCAAAUCUGCUCGCAAUACAACCAUCUUCUGAUCAAGUACACAGCAGAUGUGCCUCAAUCUACAAGGGCAUGGAUGGGUGGAUGGAUGGAUGGGCAGUGGCUGUACUGCCAGCCUUCUCCCAGAACAUUCUGUUUUUCUCUUGGUUCUCACACAGCUCUGUGGCAGUCACAGCUUCCAAACAGGACCAUGGGCAUUCCUUGCUCUCCUGAAGGACUUAUCUCAUGCAGAAAACAGUGGCAGAAUACAAAUCAACACACCCCAUGCACAGACGGCUGGGAUCCUUUGAGACUCUUGUUUUAUGGAUGAAAUAAAUUCAGCCAAUGAGGAAUGAAAGGCAUUGAUUUGGUGUCUCCAUGAGAAUGAGAAAAACACAGGGAGCACCGGACUGGACAGAUGAGCCCCUGUUCUCACUGCUGUCUCCUGAUCAGUGAGAGCGGCGUUGCAAAGCUAAUCCCCACACUGUGCUACACCUGGCAAGAAAGAGACAGCUAUCAGCUGGACACAGCAGCAAGAGCUGAAAUGUGGUGGAAAAGAUACCUCAAAUAUUCCCUUUUUUUUGGUAUUCCUUUUAGUUGGGUGUUAGUUGGAUGACUUUUCAUGCCUUUUGCUAGAAUACACUGGUCUGCAAGGUGCUGCCAAGAAAUUGGCCACUAUAAUGAUAUAUGAUAUAAUGGUGAGCUCCCAGCCCCAGGGCAGCAGUGAUUCUUAAGGUUCCAAAACA